rnacentral:rRNA from 1 species
CAACGCCGCGUGGGUGAAGAAGGUCUUCGGAUUGUAAAGCCCUUUUCUGGAGGAAGAGUAAGGACGGUACUUCAGGAAUAAGUCUCGGYUAACUACGUGCCAGCAGCCGCGGUAAAACGUAGGAGGCGAGCGUUAUCCGGAUUUACUGGGCGUAAAGAGCGUGUAGGCGGAGCCUUAAGUCGGAUGUGAAAGCUCCUGGCUUAACUAGGAGAGGUCAUUCGAUACUGGGGCCCUUGAGAGCAGGAGGGGAGAGUGGAAUUCCCGGUGUAGUGGUGGAAUGCGCAGAUAUCGGGAGGAACGUCAGUGGCGAAGGCGACUCUCUGGCCUGUUUCUGACGCUGAGACGCGAAAGCGUGGGUAGCGAACGGGAUUAGAUACCCCGGUAGUCCACGCCCUAAACGUUGCGGACUAGGCGUAGGUGGCAUUGACCCCAUCUGUGCCGUAGCUAACGCGAUAAGUCCGCCGCCUGGGGGCUACGGCCGCAAGGCUAAAACUCAAAGGAAUUGACGGGGACCCGCACAAGCAGCGGAGCGUGUGGUUUAAUUCGAUGCAACACGAAGAACCUUACCUGGGCUUGACAUGUAUGUAGUAGUGAAGCGAAAGUGGAACGACCCUUCGGGGAGCAUACACAGGUGCUGCAUGGCUGUCGUCAGCUCGUGCCGUGAGGUGUUCGGUUAAGUCCGGUAACGAGCGCAACCCUUGCUGUUAGUUAUAUGUGUMUAACGGGACUGCCGGUUUAAGCUGGAGGAAGGUGGGGAUGACGUCAAGUCAGCAUGGCCUUUAUGUCCAGGGCUACACACACGCUACAAUGGCCGGUACAACGGGUAGCUAACCCGUGAGGCGGAGCCAAUCC